rnacentral:tRNA from 1 species
CCUGGUGGUUCAGAUGGUAAAGUGUCUGCCUGCAAAGCGGGAGACCCAGGUUCAAUCCCUGGGUCAGGA